rfam:Cajanus cajan CcLG10_561, whole genome shotgun sequence.
UUUGAGGGGAAUGUUGUCUGGCUCGAGGACCCUUCUUCAUCUUCAUCAAGAAAUGUUUAGUGUUCUCGGACCAGGCUUCAUUCCCCCCAAU